ACAUGCCUACAACAUAGUGUUAAUACAUCUGAUCUUAUUAGAAAUAUGUUGUUAAGCGUGCUCAAGCUAGAGUAGUACAGGGAUGGGUGACCGCCUAAGAAGUCCUUAUGUUUUACAUGCC
rfam:Picea glauca, whole genome shotgun sequence.